GAAUCGAGCUGGGCAAUUGCUAUCGCGCUUUAAACAACGCGAAUAGAGGAAAGUCCGAACUCCUAAGAACAGGGUGCCGGGUAACGCCCGGGGUCUUGGCUUUAGUCGGGAUACGGAAAGUGCAACAGAAAAAAUACCACCUCAAAUUAAUUUGGGGAAAGGGUGAAAAGGCAGGGUAAGAGCCUACCGCUUCAAUAGUAAUGUUGGAGGUCCCGGAUGGGAGUCCCCAUUGUAUUUGGGGGUCAGUGUAAACCCCACCUGGAGCAAGGUCGAGUAGAAAGCUUCUCCUUAAUUUGGAGGCAAGGUUGUUCGCCUUGAAUGCUUUCGGGUAGACUGCACGACUCCGGCAGUAAUGCCGGGGCUAGAUAAAUAAUUGCCUCCUCAAUUUAUUUGAGGAAACAAAAUUCGGCUUAUAGGUUCGGUAAAUCA
rnacentral:RNase_P_RNA from 1 species